CGGACUUAGUGGCGGACGGGUGAGUAACGCGUGGGUAACCUGCCCUGUACAGGGGGACAACAGCCGGAAACGGCUGCUAAUACCGCAUAAGCCUGCGGGGCCGCAUGGCCCGGCAGGAAAAGCUGCGGCGGUACAGGAUGGGCCCGCGUCUGAUUAGCCAGUUGGCGGGGUAACGGCCCACCAAAGCAACGAUCAGUAGCCGGCUUGAGAGAGCGAACGGCCACAUUGGGACUGAGACACGGCCCAAACUCCUACGGGAGGCAGCAG
rnacentral:rRNA from 1 species